rnacentral:rRNA from 1 species
UAUCAAGCUACUAAGGGCUUACGGUGGAUGCCUUGGUGCCAGGAGACGAUGAAGGGCGUGACAGGCUGCGAUAAGCUUCGGGGAGUUGCAUAAUAAACUGUGAUCCGGAGAUUCCCGAAUCGGGCAACCGAGCAGGUUAAUCCCUGCUACUUGUGUUUUACACAAGGGAAAACCAGGAGAAGUGAAACAUCUCAGUACCCUGAGGAAAAGAAAGAAAACCUCGAUUCCCCCAGUAGCGGCGAGCGAAAAGGGAA